CAAAUGGCGGAAGAUUAUUCCAUUCAUUAAAAAACAUAUAGUACAACAAACAUCGCACUAUAUGUUUUUUAAUGAAUGGAAUAAUCUUCCGCCAUUUGUUGAAAAA